GAACGUGUAGCUCAGUGGUAGAGUGCAUGCUUAGCAUGCACGAGGUCCUGGGAUCAAUCCCCAGUACCUCCU
rnacentral:tRNA from 1 species